rnacentral:rRNA from 1 species
UACGUAGGGGGCGAGCGUUGUCCGGAUUUACUGGGCGUAAAGCGCGUGUAGGCGGCUUCUUAAGUCGGGUGUGAAAGCCCGGGGCUCAACCCCGGGAUGCCGCCCGAGACUGGGAGGCUUGAGGUCGGAAGAGGGGAGUGGAACUGCGAGUGUAGAGGUGAAAUUCGUAGAUAUUCGCAAGAACACCAGUGGCGAAGGCGGCUCACUGGCCCGGUACUGACGCUGAGGUGCGAAAGCGUGGGGAGCAAACAGG